rnacentral:rRNA from 1 species
UACGAAGGGUGCAAGCGUUACUCGGAAUUACUGGGCGUAAAGCGUGCGUAGGUGGUUUGUUAAGUCUGAUGUGAAAGCCCUGGGCUCAACCUGGGAAUUGCAUUGGAUACUGGCAGGCUAGAGUGCGGUAGAGGAUGGCGGAAUUCCCGGUGUAGCAGUGAAAUGCGUAGAGAUCGGGAGGAACACCAGAGGCGAAAAGCGGCGACCUGGACAGGCACUGACACUCAACUACGAAAGCGUGGGGAGCAAACAGG